GAUGAACGUUGGCGGCGUGCUUAACACAUGCAAGUCGAACGAAGAAUUUGUAGCAAUACGAGUUCUUAGUGGCGAAUGGGUGAGUAACACGUAGGUGACCUACCCUGGAGUGGAGAAUAACAGUCCGAAAGGAUUGCUAAUACUCCAUAUCGUCCCGGAGAUUUGAUGCUCUGGGUCUAAAGCAGCAAUGCGCUUCAGGAGGGGCCUGCGGUCCAUCAGCUAGAUGGUGGGGUAACGGCCUACCAUGGCGACGACGGAUAGGGGACCUGAGAGGGUGGCCCCCCACACUGGAACUGACACACGGUCCAGACUCCUACGGGAGGCAGCAGUGGGGAAUAUUGGUCAAUGGGCGAAAGCCUGAACCAGCAACGCCGCGUGUGCGAUGAAGGCC
rnacentral:rRNA from 1 species